UUUGUUGUAUUAUGUCACAUGAGUAUAGAAAUGAUAAAAAAAGACACCAUUUUUUAUUUCUUAUAGCCUCAAUAUGCAUUUUUUAAUGUAAAUAUGUGGCACGGCCUAAAUUGACCCUAAAUUAUUUCCAGUCUUACUUGGCCUAAGACCCUUUAAACUAAUAUGAUAUGUCAUUUGUAACUUUUCUUUCUAUUUAAAGUACAUUCAAUACAUAUGUAAGGAUUAUUUAUAGCCAAAAAGCUUCACAAAUUUAAAAUUGCUGGAAAAUAUUACAUCUUCAUGUAAG
rnacentral:lncRNA from 1 species